rnacentral:lncRNA from 1 species
GCUGGACUGCUAAUUUUUCUUCUUUCCAGGCGCAGAGAGAAUUCUCUCUGAAGAUUUGUGACACAAAUAGCCUGAGAAGCGUGCUGAUUUUGGAAUCAUGGCUGUGCGGAAGACAGGGCCACAGCAUCCUCUUUAAGAAAAUGUAGUCUUCCUAUUCUUCCUCUCUGAGCUGGUGACCCAGGACUGAGCACACAGGAAAAGCCUUUUUCUUGCAACUCUUGAGCUCAAAUCUAAUGUGUUGACAAGGUCCCGGCAGGGACCUCGUUCGGGCUGAGUGAAUUGGCAGAGUCAUUUCUCGGCUUAUCAGAUCACGUUCCCCUUGUCUUGCUUUAUUUUUCGAAUCAGCCCCAACUCAGGAGACCAGAAUUACAACAAGAAUCCCAUUUCCACCAGACAAAGGGCUCAGCCGUGCAUUCAGUCAUCCAUUUUUCCUCAUCCUUCCCCGGGUCUGGAGUGACGUGGAGCAAGACAGAGAAAGGAGCCUUUGCCUCAAAAAGAAUUGGAAGUCACAGCUUCAUCUUCAUGGCAAUUUCAUGUAAUGGCACCAAAGAAGAGAGGAUUCCAAAGCACCUCUUCUCCUAUCUCUUCUGCAUCUACUGCUUUGUUAGUUCUGUUCUUUUUCCUGGGCUCUUGCCUGUUGGACACAGUUGUGUUUAUAUACAGCGAGGUCAUAUCUUUCCCCCACUGAAGAGGCAGAAGAGUCAAAUUGUAUGGCCUUAGUAGAGAAGAGAAUUUUUCUCAGCCUAAGUGAAUAAUGUUUGCAGGGACAAACUAUGUUUCUAAGCACUUGAGGAUGAUGCUGUCUAUUCCAAAGAAUCCUAUAUGCUGUGUGUGUGUGUGUGUGUGUGGAGUGUGUGUGUGUGUGUGUGUGUGUGUGAAAGAGAGAGAGAGAGGCAGAGACAGAGAGAGGCUGAGAGAUUUCUCUGCUUUGUUCUUUUAAGAAGACAAUAUCACAAUAUCAACGGCAGUAAGUUGGGUCAUUCAGGAUGUGUGUAAACCUGUGUAGAUGUAGUUAUUCUUCGUGGCCACCAGGGAGACUCUCUGGUGUACUCCCCACCUUAGGACUUUCAUACUGAAAAGGAUAAACAAUCUGAACAAAAUUCCUGAUUCUCAUCAACCAGCCAAGCCUGCCCCUUCCAUUCCAAAGGGUAAUGCAUUUUGUGGAUGGAGCGGGAAACUGGACAGGCAACCCUCUUUGGGGAUGUAGACAUCUCUGUUUCAGAAAAUGUUUAUUGAUUCUUCGGGUUUCUCAGAACAACAUUAAUCAUGCAAAAAGGCAAAGGCAUGAGCCUCAGAAUCCUGGUGGCAGGAGUCAGGGGAGUGGAUUUUCUUUUUACAGUAAGACUUAUGUCAACACAUUUCUGAAAAUGAAUCAAUAGUCAAAUAACUCAAGUGACAGAUUAAUCAUUCUGGCAAAGACCAAGGUCUAUAAGAUGCUAUCCAAUUAAAACAG